ensembl:lincRNA
CGGUGGCCCAGGAGGAAGACUCUCUUCGGUCCCCGCUGCCCGGGGCUGCCCUGACCCCGCGCCCCGGUGCGUCCGCGGCUCCUGCGCCUUCGGGGCCUGCGCCGGGGGUGCGUCCGGGGCUGGCGGGGGCCGCUGGGGCAACGCGAAGGGCACCGGCCGCGCCUCCAGCCUGGAAGCAGGGAAAGGCCUCGGAACUGGACGUCGGGGCGACCCGGCCCGGCCCUCCGGACGCAGGUUCCUUUCCCCGGAGCGGAGCUACUUUGUGCUUCGUCCCAACUUGCGAAUUCUGUGAGUUUGAAGGAGCCUCGCUGUGUCCACGAGUAACCACACGCAUGACCGCUGUGUCCGCGAGUGACCACACGCGUGACCGCUGUGUCCGCGAGUGACCACACGCGUGACCGCUGUGUCCGCGAGUGACCACACGCGUGACCGCUGUGUCCACUAAUGACCACACGCGUAACCGUGUGUCCGCAAGUAACCACACGCGUGACCGCUGUGUCCACGAGUGACCACACGCGUGACCGCUGUGUCCACGAGUAACCACAUGCGUGACCGCUGUGUCCACUAAUAACCACACGCGUAACCGUGUGUCCGCAAGUAACCACACACGUGACCGCUGUGUCCACACAUAAAGCUGAUGUCUAGGUCACCCCUAGUUAGGAAUCCCGUCCCGGAGUCUGGGAAAGGGCCGCAGAUUACAAAGAACUGACCGCCGGAAAGGGCGUAACUCGAGCGUCUGACAGUCACCCCGAGGCCAUCCGAUCAGCCCCGCGGAGAUGUCCGCUUUACAAGGGAGCAGGUGUUGUUCUGGACUCGGGGCCACUGGGCCACCGUUGCGGUGGCGCUUCAGAUGGAGCUGAAAUCCCGGAACGGAAGGACAUUUCCUGGUGACCAGCUGUGCACUGUUGGCACCAAAUAAUGACAUUGUGACAAACAGAACGGGAAACUAGAGGGUGUCCGUGUGGUCGGCCGCUCAACCUGGGCUUUCUGAUGAAGCACUUUCCCCCCAUGAGUCCCCUCCUUCCCACACCCACCCACCCGCCUUCUGCCCACGGGUCUGUAAUCCAGACUGUCCUUUCAGGGGUCACUAGUGACUUGGCCGAAAAUCCCUGGGUUAUUGUAAUGAUUCCCCCCACACUCAGUCUAACCAUUCAUAGCACCUGCUCUGUGCCAGGGCCAGUGGACCCUGGGGAUACAAGGAUGAAUAAGGUUCGGCCCGGCCCUGAAGGAGCUCCUCAUCUGGGACGGAGGACAGACCGAACAAAUGCAACCUCUUGGCGAUGGCCGAGGAAGGGCAGGAAGGUCCAGUGCAUGACCGGAAGAAAAACAAAAUCCGUUAGACAUCAAGCACACAUACCCGGAGUCCAGGAGAAGCACCGAAAGAGUUCUUUACUUGCCCCCGGGUGCAUUAUCUAUAGGCUUUCCAAGUCCUCUAGAAUCACAAGACAUUCUUCCGUUCAGUAUCUAUUCAUCGAGCCCCUUCUGGAAGCCAAGCCGUAAGCUCAGCCCCACGGACAGUGUGCGGCUGUGCUCUCGGAGCUGAAGGUCCAGUCGGGAAGCCGGGGGGCGAUCAAAUACUGGAAGGAGGGGCGCCGCAGACUUCAGCGAACGCUGCGGAGGAGUCACUGGCCCGCUUUCGAGGCCCAGCCGCGUUAAGAUUCCUGAGUAUCUACGCCACAUCCCCCCGACCAACAUCUGGCUAAAAACAAGAUGCACAAACCAAAGUGAACUUCUCUCCACUGUCUCUCUCCCUGCUGCGAAAGCCCGGCUCUCUGAGGCAAGUGAACAACCCUAUUAUUGCCCCAGAAGAAAGACAGUGUUGACGAGCUUUUCACCUGCUGUCUUGCAGCUCUCCAGUUCCUCCCCGCCCAACACCCGCCCCGUUUUCUUCUAUGAUCCUUACUUUGAUUUCCAAGGUCAGAUCAACGUAGAGAAGCUCUUAACUUACUUCUCAGCAUUAGCUGCGUGAUUGUUUCUGUUUCAAUGACCUCUUUCUCUCCCUGCUGCACCAGUGACCACAGGCUCCUCUUAAAAGGCAAAGGCCCCUGUUGUUCUCAGGCAGGGAGGGGGCAUUUGUAAAUAGAGUUCAGGAAUGUCAAAGGGGUGACCCAGAUUUGCAGCACCAGAGGAAAAACCCGAGCUCGUUGUUGAGUAUCCUAUGUGAUCAAACGUGGCCUAUUCUUGGCGUGGGGAACAGGUGUGCAGAAUGGUUAUUUAAUGGAACUACAGAGCAUUAUAGCGAGGAAUUCACUACUUAAAGACCUCAAGGCCAAGCAAAUGUAUUUAGUCCAAGUCCUCAAAUUAGAAAACCAAUUUUUUAAAUGCCUCCUUACUUACUUCCAACCAAGGGAAGUGCUGCAUUGUUCUUUCUCCUGAUUAGCAGUGAAAUCAACUCUACAGAAGGAAUAAAAUAUACCCAAAUAUAAAUAGGCCCGAGUUGCUUCUGUCAUCUUUCUUCAAAGCUUCGGUGCUUCGGUGCUUCCCCGAAUGUUUUCCAUUCCUUCUGAGGUGGUGCAGUUAAUAUACAAAGAUGCUGUGGGAGAGGUAGAUGGGUAACAGAGUUCCAGAGCUGGAAGUGAAACUGGAAUCAUCUAGCCCUACCCCCUCAUUUUACAAACAGGGCUAUGGAGGCAGAAAGCAGCGGCAUUUGGCUCACAGGAAGUGUCAGGGAAGACACUGAAACUGUUUCUUGACUCUCAGACUGGUGCCAUGAAAAUGUUUACUGUGCCCACCAAGGGCUUCCCCUCCGGUAUAGGUAAGGGGUUGUCUCGGCUUAUUCUCUAACCCCUCUUCUCCAAAUUGCAUGUUCCCUUGGUGGAACUAAUCCAGGGGGUUCUGGUGGGGCUUCAAAUCACUGUGUUCACACUAGGGCACAGCCAAUUCCGGCCUCCUGUCCCUCUGGGCACAGAACUCAGCUGGUGAGCCUGAGACCCACAUGGAAACAACUGGAGUUCUUGUUGCGAACCGUAACUGGGUAUUGUGAGAGGUUUCCUCUCCCCUUGAUGGAACACAAGCAGAGGAGAGGUAGGCUUUGGGCUGCCAGGGGCCAACUUCCCCAGCACGUAAAGAGAACCUGCCUCAAAAGAAGCCAAUACACAAUGUCCAGUAAGUUUAUCCAUUUAUCAUAACCACAUUCCUUGUUAACAGGUAAUGCCAGGUCUCUGCAAACUAAUAGGAGGGAAAAGCACGAAAUCAGAGAGCAGAAUGCAUUUUUGUUGUAGCAGUAGUUACUUUGGGAACAAUGUGGUUUUGUGGAAGAAACGUGCUCAUUAGGCUGUGAUCUGGGUUCAAAUGUGGCUUCUACUGCUUCCCAGCUGCCCCCAGUAGCUGGAAUGAAGAGCUUAGCUCCCUGGGCUGAUAUGAGGACUGAGGGGAGCAAAGGACCGAGCUCCAGGAAAGGACACCCCUUUAGGGUGUCCAAGCAGCAAGCCCCAGGAGAGAACUCUUUGUGGACUUGAUCUCUGCCUGUUAAAACUGACUUGUUCUCUCCCAAAGACUCCUUCAGGCAAAAAGGGUCAGGAAAGUCAUGGGUUACUUGGAGACACAGCCAGUGG